rnacentral:lncRNA from 1 species
UGAUACGAACCUUUUGAAAAUGCAAGGAAGUGGUUAGGAGUGGAGAUCCACUGAGAAAAAUGCAACAGGAACGUCUGCAAAGAGUCGGUGUCGAUCGACAAUAGUGGUGGGUGUCGCUCGACACCAACAUUUUGUUCCGCGAGGAUAGUUUCGACUCGCGAAUGGAGUGUCGAGCUCGGUGUCGACUGUGAGUGUCGAGGGCGAGUGUCGAUCGACACCAAUGGUGAG